GAUGAACGCUAGCUACAGGCUUAACACAUGCAAGUCGAGGGGUAGCAGGGUAGCAAUACCGCUGACGACCAGCGCACGGGUGAGUAACACGUAUCCAACCUUCCCAUAACUCGGGGAUAGCCUUUCGAAAGAAAGAUUAAUACCCGAUAGUACUCAACAAAGGCAUCUUUGAUAAGUUAAAGAUUUAUUGGUUAUGGAUGGGGAUGCGUUCCAUUAGAUAGUUGGUGAGGUAACGGCUCACCAAGUCUUCGAUGGAUAGGGGUUCUGAGAGGAAGGUCCCCCACAUUGGUACUGAGACACGGACCAAACUCCUACGGGAGGCAGCAGUGAGGAAUAUUGGUCAAUGGGCGAGAGCUUGAACCAGCCAAGUAGCGUGAAGGAUGAAGGUCCUAUGGAUUGUAAACUUCUUUUAUAGUAGAAUAAAGUGAUCCACGUGUGGAUUUUUGUAUGUAUACUAUGAAUAAGGAUCGGCUAACUCCGUGCCAGCCGCCGCAGUAA
rnacentral:rRNA from 1 species